rnacentral:rRNA from 1 species
AGCGAACGCUGGCGGCAGGCCUAACACAUGCAAGUCGAACGAAGUCUUCGGACUUAGUGGCGGACGGGUGAGUAACACGUGGGAACGUGCUAUUAGGUUCGUAAUAACUCAGGGAGACGUGUGCUACUACCGAAUGUGCCCGUCGGGGGAGAGAUUUAUCGCCUUUAGAGCGGCCCGCGGCUGAUUAGCUAAUUGAUGAGGGAAAGGCUGACCAAGGCUACGAUCAGUAGCUGGUGUGAGAGGAUGACCAGCCAGAUUGGGCCUGAGGCACGGCCCAACCUCCUACGGGAGGCAGCAGUGGGGAAUCUUGCGCAAUGGGCGAAAGCCUGACGCAGCCAUGCCGCGUGGAUGAUGAAGGUCUUAGGAUUGUAAAAUCCUUUCACCGGUGAAGAUAAUGACUGUAGCCGGAGAAGAAGCCACGGCUAACUUCGUGCCAGCCGCCGCAGUAACAC